UCGACUAUUGCUGUGAACUGGUUUAGCGAACAUGUGUUAGCAGUUAAUGGGUCACGCUUAUUCCAAUCCUGUAUUGCUGUAGGAAAGUACGAAUACUUCGGACAGCUAGAAUGAUGUGUGUAUCCAGAGAGUUUGAAAGAGUGCUUGAUGCGUGUAGGCCUUGCUGACGUUACACAAUUGUAUCUAAUAGUGUCAGUAUUCACCUGGUUGGGAAGAAGCUGGGUCAUCAAACAAUCGGUGCACCAUUCCUCAGGUAUGUGGUCAUAUGUUUCAAGACUAUACGCUCUAAAAGUUCAUGGGUGCUGCUGGUAAAGGAAAUCGGUCUGCAAUUGGAGGCUUGUCCCCUUCAUCGUAAUGCAAGGGUCAGGACAUGCCCUUCUUCGUCUGGAAAACAACACACCAGAGCCUGGAGCCGACCUGCCACAAGAGCCUAGAGCAAGCUUGAGUUCAUGGAAUGUUAUGGUUUUUUGUAUCCGUCUGGUGACUUGUUUGGACGCAAAGGAAUAUUUUCAGCUAUUCUUUUAUUGUGGCCCGUCCUGGAGUAGGCUGGAUGGCUUCCACCACAGUUCACACAAUGUGGAGAUGAGUCGCAAGUGUCUGAUGGAUGAUCAUUCGAGCUACAUUUCGCGCAAGUCUGCCUUCCUCGGCGUGUCUGGUAUCCAUGCCCAUACCUCUGGCACUUAAAGCACCGUCGAGGAUUUGGGAUGUAUGGCCUGCAUCCAAUGUACUAGACAGCACACUAGGGCCAAAGAUGCAACUAUUUUCACAUAUCGCCGACAGAAGACAUCGCAACUGAAGGCGACGGAGGGACUACUUCGGUUUUUGAAAGAGAUGGACUUGGACAAGCGGCUGUGACAGUGAUAUCUCGUACCUCGCAAGAGUGACGGACUGUAACUGACGAUGUGUGUGCUGUGUUAUGUGCUCUCUCUGCUCCCCAUCUUUCAUCCCCCCCAAUCCGCUCCCAUGUGUAGGGUAGCAAACCGGUUAAGCUAAACUGGUUAACCUCCCUUCCUUUCCUUUUCCACUUUUUCCUUCCUUCCUUCCUUGUCAUUGUCCGGGACCUCUCACUGACGCAUUAAUUCAAGCAAAGAAAUGUACCGGUACAUAGUUGGCUACCUUUGUGAGUUCGUCAUACGAAUACGUUCGCAGCAAGAGGACAACGUGCGCAAGAGCCCAACGACACUCGCGACUUGCUGUGUCACCCAUUCCCUACAGAAGAAAGGAAAACCUGGAUAGACAACGUG